UGAGAGAUUCAUGAUGGGAAUCCGUUCGUGUGGUUAUGGGGGUGAGAAGUCCCACGGCCCAGAAGCUAGAGGCCCAGGAAAACCAACGGUGUGAUUUCAUCAGGGUCCAAAGGCCUGGGACUCAGGGCCGAUGGUGUGACUCCCAGCCUGGGUCUGAGCACCUGAGGACCAGGGGUGCCGGCAUCCGAGGGCAGCAGGAGGACUGGGAGCUAUGUCGGGGCAGAGAGAGUAUCAACUACAUACCACUCCUGACAGGUGCUCAGGACCCUGCUGUUGAAUGGACGAACUCUGCAGCACCCGCCCCGCAGCUCCAUACCCGCUAGGGUCACAGAGCUCCUGAUGCCAGGCUCGGGGAGCUCCCAGGGCCCGUGGGGAGCCACACCAUCCGCAACCAACAUCUCGGAGCUGGCAUGUUGCUAUGCGGAGGCUGAGCUCAUUCUCAGAGGUUAAGCCUGACCCGGCAAUAGAGCAGUAUCUUCAUCUCAAAAGCACACGCCCUUUGGCUCCACAGUUGCGUUCCUAGGAGCAGAUCUCGCCAACAGCUCUGCACGGUUGGCACUGGGGGCCAGAUCACUCUUCGUUGCAGGCUGUCCUGUGUCCUGGGGGGUGUUUAGCUGUCUCCCUGGACCUCCAUCCACAAGACACCAGCGGCACUGCCGCUCCAGUUAGGGCAGAAAGGUCUCCAGACAUUGCCAAAUGUCCCCCGGAGUCAGGGUGGGGCACAAUCUCCCCAUCUGAGAACUACCAGCAAUGGCACCCAGUAAAGAACAAGGAGCAGGCCGCCUGUCCACCAGGAGUGGCCUGGAAAGGAGCUCAUGGGCCCCCAUGCCAUGUGUGUGUGUCCCGUGGCUGCUGAAACAAAUCUGCAGACUAGGUCAGGGGUCUGAAGUUGGUAUCCGGGGCCAACUCAGGGGUCAGCAGGGUCGGGCUGCCUGUGGGGGCCCUGGAGGGAAUCUGGGCCCUUGCCUUGUCUGGAGGCGGCGGGCAUUCCUCGGCUCGUGCCCCCAGCUCCUUCUUGCUUUAGUUGUCACACUUGCUGUUGUCAGAUCACCCUCUGCCUUUCUCUUACAAGUGUCCUUGUGAUUGCACUGGGCCCCCUGGGAAAAUUCAGGAUCUUCUCCCACCACUAAAUCCUUAAGGACGUGGGCAAAAUCCCUUUUGUCACAUGUUUCCAACUUGCAGAGUGGGAUUUGGGUGUCUCUGGGGCCAUUCCUCAGCCCACCACACCAUGGCCGGUAAUGAAUGGGGUCCUCAAAAAGACUGAAACAGCUCUACAAUCAUCCAUGUGUUCACACUGGGAAUAGAUGUCCAGGCCCACACAGAGGCUGAGGGCUCAGCAGCGAGCAAAACCACGUGGCUGCCCUCCAGAGCCUGCACCUGGCUGGGGCACGACAACGAUAAACAGAUAAAUGCAGCAUCUCAGGGCCUUAGACAAGUCACCUGACACCCUGAAGCCAAUUUCUUCAAGUGUGAAAUGGGGUGGAAACACCAACGUCCUACCACAGGGUCAUGUGAGGUGAACCUGCUCCCAGGUGGCAAGGUCCCAGAAGGAGCAGUUUCUGGUAUUGUUUUGUUUUGUAGGCGUGGAGGGUUUGCGUUGUGCAUUACACUAAGUGGGUCCAUGUCAUAAUGAUACAGUCAGAAUAUUGAAUAACAAUAAUGAGCAUUUUCUUAAAUGGCGAAUCACAAAAUGAAUUCCCACGUCUCGGGCACAAUAAAACAUCCACCAGAUUACACGGACAAGAAAGUUCAUAGCAGCUUUACACGUGAUGGCUCCAAACUGGAAAAUGCAAAUGCCAUGUGACAGAAGCGUGGACCUACUGUGGUACAGUCAUACACAGAGUGCCCCCUGGUGAUAAAGUGAACCAUCAGCAUGGCUGAAUCUCACAGACAUAAUUUCGAGUGAAAGCCAUCAGACGGCAGAGAGAAUACUUGGUGUGGACGUCCUUUGCAGAGUUCAAGAACAGGAAAAUCACUCUAAGGUCAUAGAUCAUCAGAUCUAUGGUUUCGGGCAAGGGCUGGAACAUGGACUGGGAUGUGAGGGGUCCUUCUAAAGAAUUGAAAACAACCUGUAUCUUGAUCUGAGUGGAGGUUACCGAGGUGUACAGACUUGUAAAAUUCCUUGAGCCAUACAUACGCUUAAGAUCUGUGCACCUCGCUGUAGUUAUAUCCCAAGCAAAAAUCUUAGAAGGCAAAGAGAAUCUUUAAAAAAUUAAAAUGGAAACAAUAUACAACCAACAAUGCCCCCUUAAAAAUUGGCUGCAGUUAUCUAAAAUUAUUUGUGAAAAUAUUUGCUAGGCUUCAAUAUUUCAAGAAUGCAAAUUCCCAAUAAUAACUAUUUUAUUGUUGUUGUUAAAAAGCACAUUAAAACCUGUAGUUUAUGUCCCCCGGCUCCCUUCCCCCACGAGACCUACCUCCAACCCCCGUUCCCACUUCCAUUUGGUGUUUAUCCAAAUCCCAAGCAUUUCUUUACACUUUCAUUACAUAGGUACAUAUCCCUAAACUGUACGUUGUAUUAUUUUGCAUGUUCUUAUGAUUUAUGGAAAUGGUUUCAUACUGCCACUUGCUUUUUUGGUCAGCAUCAUCUCUGUGAGAUGUAUCCAUCAUUCUGUUGAUUGACAUGGAGAUUUUUUUCUAGCUUUUGCCAUUACAAACGAAACUGCACUGAACACAGAGGUAGUCAACAUUAUUCACAAAAUCAGCAUGUAUUAGCCUUUAUUAUGUGCCAGGCAUUCUGUUCUGUCUCUUUUUGUCACAAGGGGCUUAUUUGCAGGAGAUGUUAUUCAUUGUCCUGCCUGCUUUCU